UACAGAGGGUGCGAGCGUUAAUCGGAAUUACUGGGCGUAAAGCGCACGUAGGCGGCUUGGUAUGUCGGGUGUGAAAUCCCCGGGCUCAACCUGGGAACUGCAUCCGAAACUGCCUUGCUCGAGUAUGGGAGAGGGAAGUGGAAUUUCCGGUGUAGCGGUGAAAUGCGUAGAUAUCGGAAGGAACAUCAGUGGCGAAGGCGACUUCCUGAACCAAUACUGACGCUCAGGUGCGAAAGCGUGGGGAGCAAACAGG
rnacentral:rRNA from 1 species